GAUGAGAACGCAGCGAAAUGCGAUACUUGGUGUGAAUUGCAGAAUCCCGUGAACCAUCGAGUCUUUGAACGCAAGUUGCGCCCGAAGCCAUCAGGUUGAGGGCACGUCUGCCUGGGCGUCACAUAUCGUUGCCCAAUGCCUAUUGCAGUGCAAUAGGAAUUUCUAGGGCGAAUGAUGGCUUCCCGUGAGCGUUGUUGCCUCGCGGUUGGUUGAAAAUCUAGUCCUUGGUAGGGUGUGCCAUGGUAGAUGGUGGUCGAGUUAGAACGAUACCGAUCAUGUGCAUGCUCCCCAAAAUAUGGCCUCUAUGACCCACACGCGUCUUUUGACGCUCAUGACGAGACCUCAGGUCAGGCGGGGCUACCCGCUGAAUUUAAGCAUAUCAAUAAGCGGAGGA
rnacentral:misc_RNA from 1 species